UAGGUGUUCCUAGGUAUUUAUUUUUAUAUAUUUUCUUGACAAGUCAUUUUAAGAAUUUUAGAACUUAUUAAAUGGUAAAAUUAUCUUAGGCAUGGCGUAGACAGGGGGCGGGCAUGGCCAGGCCACCCUAUGACACCAUUUUUUUUCCACUGAAAAUUUUAAAAUUCAAAUAAAUUUCAAAAAUUUAACACAGUUGGCCUCCUAACAUGAAAAAAAAAUCAGUUUCUAGCUCUACUCCUAUUAUUAGCCAUGUUUUGCGCUAAUUGACAGCUUCAUGUACAUACUCAUACCAAAUAGGAAAUUCCAAACUAUGUCCAUGGUCCGAUCAAAUAAGAUAUCUAUGGCACAAGUUUAACACAAUUCGAUACAAUCUCUUCCUUUACAAAAGGAGGAUCAGAAGAAAACACAGCUUUAAUAUAUCCCAUACAACCUUCUAUCAGACUAAUCCAACAUGCAGAUGCAAUCUAAGCAGUACAAGUUUUCUGUAUACCGUAUCUAUCAAUGAAUCACUCAAACAAAGUUUGAAAUAGAGAUCGAUUGCCAAACUGACUACAUUGAACUCUAUAAGAAAUUAUUUUUAGAAUAAAUUUUCAAUCUAGAACAACUUACUUUUUGGAACGAAGGGAGUAUAUCCCGUCAUCUGCCCUACUUUUGAGUACCGAAUUUCAGACCUAGUCUUAACAAAAAGCUGGAUCCGCCACUGGCGUCUAUCGUACAUAUCCAGGCACGGACGGCCAGACACCUCCAUGAGCUUGGAGAUCGCGUGACGGGGCUCCGGCAAGCCGAUGUUGGUGACCGUCUCGCUGUCGACGUCGAAAGCAAGGAUCGCGGACUUGCUGACGUGGAGGAGGUAGAUCGUGCCGUCCAUGUAGAGCGAUUGGCCGGUGAUCUCCCCGACGACGCCCUCCCCCGACAACACGGUCCGUAGUCGCGGUUUCUUCUUCCUCUCGACGCCGCCGCUGCUGAGCGUGUAGACCAGCAGCUCCUUGGGAUACCUAACAAUGGGGGGACUGCUAAGGAGGAUUUUACUCCGCAUGCGCCGGCGUGUUAGGAGAAGCUUGUAUGUUUUGGUCGUGGCGCUGUAACCCAACCCUAGUAUGGCACAGUCGUCACGGGUGGAGACAGGGAUCGUCACUUCCUUCUCCUCGUCGGCGAUGGCCGGGUUCCAGAGGACGCACGUGGUGGGCCUCGGCUUGCCGCCGGCGAGCAGCACGACGCCGUUGCAUCGGGGCGUUGCCGCUGCCGAGACCUGCGCCACCAGCGACGUGGAAGCCGUGGUAGCCGGAGGCGGGACCCCGCUCGCCGCCGCUCCUCCGUACCUUCGCUGUCGCGACGUACGCGACGUGCGGGCGGGGCAGCGG
rnacentral:lncRNA from 1 species